GCAGCCCUCACUCCGCCGGGUCAGCCCCCCGACCCAGCACAACUCCGCUCGCGCCCAUGGCGGCCCCCGAAGGCCCGGCGACGGCCGCUGCUCCUGCUGCUGCUCGACUUCUUGCUGCUAAGUGGCCCCCAAACCAGGUACACAUCUCUCAGACUCUCCGUUCAAUGAAGUGCAUCCUUGUGAAUAGAGAUAGUCACUGAGUUAAACUCUAUUCAUCUAAGGAGAUGGAAAUAAGGUGUGGUCAGUUUGGAACACCCGAGAGAGCAAACUUGGGGAUGAGCCGAGUUGGGAGGCCUGGACUGUGCCUGCACUGAUUGGGAGGCAUGUGGGAUCUUAGCUCCCCAACCAGGGAUCGAACCUGUACCCUCUGCAUUGGAAGGCGAAGUCCCAACCACUGGACCAUCAGGGAAGUCCCUGGCCAAACUAUUUUGAAAGAAUAGCGGAUAUGGACAUUGGAUACUUCAACAGAUGCCUCCAAGUGCUUCAAAUUCAACUUGCCAAAUUCAUCAAAGGUUGCAUUUCUCACUGGGUGCAAUAGCCAGCUGCAACCAAAAUUAGGACUUUAAUGGAUUCAAAGAAGAGCUACAUUUGCUACUUGAAAAGAUAAUAUUGAACCUGAACCAAAUCUGAUAUGAGGCUAUCUACCAGGCUCAAAACUGAUGGGGCAUCAAGGGAAGUUGGUAGAGUCACUGCCCACCUGUGAAAACUCAUAAUCAAAUAGUUCGCGUUCCGAGGACUGGGACCAUUCUUUAAGAAUCUUCUAAAACCGUGCCAAGAACUGUUUCACCACAAACAGUCAAUGCUGUUUGUGGUAAAAAGAACCACACGCUACUUCCUAAUGCUCUGUCCCCAAGUCAUGGAGAUGAAAGGCCACCAUUCCAACAGUAGAGGCAGCUUGAGCUAUAAAAACAUGACUCCCAAGACUCAGAACCAGUUUAUUAAUCUUACUAACAUACACCCUUAAAGAAACUACUGUUGGUAAAACCCAGCCACUCUUUCCUACACUAAGCUGGUGAAAAGAAAAGAAAUGAGUAAAAGGAGUAAUCUGAGACAUCCAGAAGACUAAGGGCAUUCCUUCUUGAAGAGAAUUUAGAAGGCCAAUUUGGGGCUAGGCUGAGAAGAACAUCAUAUAAAGCAGGUUUGGUUCUAAUCCCAGAGACAACAAAAAAGAAGUACAUUUCGGAUGACCAUUUGGCAGUUAAUGAAUGCUGCGGUUGAGAAGCUUUCCAGCUGCCUUUAUGUUUACACGGGUGCAAUGGGUUCCAUGAACUGUGACAGCACCGCAAAUUUAAGGAGUGAGUCCCCUGGACUGUGAAACCUCUCCUUAGUGGUUUCCAUACCACCACACUCCUGCAGAGUUGUACAAUUAUUAUUUUUGCAGUUUGGGGGAAACUUCUGUGAGUUUUUAAACCAAAUUACCACAUGUUUUUCCAAGCAAUACCUCUACUCCCAUGAUGUUUCCAUGUCAAUUGCCUUUCCUGUUUCUUGACAAGGCAGCAUUGCUUUGGCUACAGGAAUGUAUACGUUUCUAGGCAGGCGCAAAGAAAAUUUGCCCCAAAUGAUCAUCAAAGGGGUCUGGGUCGAUGGACAGAGAUUGUCUUAGCACAAUCAGCCUAAAACUACCAAGAAAAAAACCUGUAAUUUGAUAAAUUAUUACCCGUUGCAAUGAGGGAGGCCACACACAACAGAGGAACUUUAGGGUGUCUUACCAACAAAGGACAGAGGAAAAUAUAGGUCUCAUAGGGAGUUUAGACAGCAUUUAAGUGAAGCAGUUUUAAUCGGUUUAAAACAAAGCAGAGCUGUGUAAGGAGUUAACAUCCCCCUCUCUGGACUGCACAGUGGACCUAGGGUCCUGUCUCCUUUCUCUUAACCACAAGGUUAGGAUAGAUGUGAAAUGCUGUGUCCAGAAGCGUCUGUCUGAACCCCUGCACAUGGGUUGUAAAUCAAGGCUGCUUCUCUAUGUUACAGUGACUUAGGUCUUCCAGGUGGGAGUGGGAAGUUUUAUUCUUCACUGAUGUAACUUUACAUAGUCCAUAAUGUAAGAGGACAAGAAUAAGAGGGCAGCAGUCACUCACAUAAGGGAGUUAUUGCAACUCUAGAUUUCCCUGUCCUUAGGAGACAAAUAUCCUGUUAAUGUUGCCCCUGCUGUUCUCUGUGACUGUUAUUCUAGCCUGAUGAAUGGCUGUGCAGAGUUUUACUUUCUCAGCCUGGGCUAAUUUUUACUCUCUCAAAAUAUAGAUAUAUAAGCAUAUAUUGGGCUGGCCAAAAAGUUCAUUCGGGUUUUUCUGUACCAUCUUAUGGGAAAACCAGAAUGAACUUUUUAACCAACCCAAUAGAACGAGACAGAGAGAGAGACAGAGAGAGAGAGACAGAGACAGAGAAUGCAUCAUUUCUUCAUGGAUUCUCAAUAAUCAUUCCCUUAACCUUCCACCUGGAUUUGACACAGGUUGAAACCUCCAAGGAGAAAUUCCUUUAUUUUAGCCCUUUCUCAUUUCCAUAACAUUCCUAAUUAUUUAGUAAACUAUGCCUAGACAGUGAACUCAGGAUAUUGAAAAAUAUCAUGCCAGGAUUUAAGGAACACAAUGGCAAUAUGAUAAUAAAUCGCAAGCAUUUAAUGAUAAAAUAAUUAUAGUAAAAAUACAGUAACACUGCAAUAAUUUAGAAAAGGACGCAGGCGGCCUUUUGGUGAAAAGAUAGAUAAAUGAGAAUGAGUCAUGCUCAAUUCAGCACUUGAAAAAAUGUAAAACUCAACAUGCUCAAAUGGAGAUUUUUUAAAUAAACAGCAAAUAUUUGAAUGGGAUUUUAUAUAGAUGUGUUGCCAAUUAACUUUCUAAACAAUCAUCUAUGAUGGCAUACUAUAUUUUAUU